GCAAUUGAUGAAAGAGAAACUGGUUGUUUCCAUCACAGAGUUAAUGAUGCAUCUGGUUCAGCAUUCAAGGGAGCUGAUCCAGCAGGAGAAGUUGGCAAGAGCCCAGCUGCUGUCCUGUGCCAACCAGUCAGCACCGCAUGAGCUGAUCCAUGUGGUGGCACUUCUCUCUGAUCUCGGAAUUCUGGAGGUUAAAGGACCAGAGUUCAACAUCAUCUUGAGCCAUAUAACGACUUCAUGGCCAGCCUGGGCUGUAUGAGACCCUGGAUAGAAAGAGAUGCGGAGAGAAGGAGAAAGAGGAUAGAGAAAAAGAGAAAGAGAGAAGAAAUGAAGAAAGUCUUCCUCCCUACCCUUACUGCCUCCUCCUAACACAUCCCCAAAAAAAAGAAGAAGGAGGAGGACUAGAAGAAAAGGGAGAAAGGAGGAGGAGGAGGAGAAGGAGAAGAAAGGAGAGGAAGAAGAAAAUGAAAAAGAAGAAGAAAAAGAAGAAGAUGAUGAUGAUGAAGAAGAAGAAGAAGAAGAAGAAGAAGAAGAAGAAGAAGAAGAAGAAGAAGAAGAAGAAGAAGAAGAAGAAGAAGUCAUCCAAUUUGUGUUACCCAUAUAUUCACAGGAACAUGGCCAACCAAACUCCUGGUGGCCAGCUCCUUAAGGAAAACUGAGUCCUUCUCCACCUGCAUCCCCUCCUGUAGCCAUCAGCACCGACUGGACUUGUAGUCAUGAUCUUCCUGACUCAGCCUCCUCAGCACUGGGAUCACGAGCAUGCACCACCACACCC